rnacentral:tRNA from 1 species
GCCGGGGUGGCCGAGCGGCCAAAGGCGGCAGACUCAAGAUCUGCUCUCGCAGGAGUUCCCAGGUUCGAAUCCUGGCCCCGGCA